AGAGGGAGAGGGUGGGAGCGGAGAGCCGUGGGUGUGAGGGGAAAGGAGGUCACAUCUGCCUCGGCGAGGCCAGAUGCGUGUUUGUAAACGCCGUCGGCUGGGGCUGGGUCGUUACACAAGGUUCUGCGCUUGUUGUUCUGUUGAUAAGCGUUCCCAGUCCCCGGCUUUCCACAGAAGAGCCUCUAAAUGAGGUUCAGAUGUACGCUAAAGACACAGAAAACAAACUGCAGAGAAAGGACUUGCGACUGAAUUACGUCUUAACUUUUUGAAGUCAGCGUCUGUGGGUCCCGAUGUCCAAAAAACCCCUUAGGUGCUGUUUAUCAGAUGGAGGAAUAAGUACUGCUUUACUAAUGGCUGAAGAAAGUGAAGUGGCUGAAGACACCCGAGCUUUAAAUCAGAGACAAGAGCUUUUCGCCGGGCUGGCUGUCCUCCAUGUAUUCCGUCUUGCUCCCCCUUACGUGAGGUCCAGUGACUGUGAGACUGCAGAAUGAAUCAGGACGCCCUGCCUCUCAGGAAAAGAAGGGAGGAAAAGAACUGAUGAACACAGAGAUCUCAGCAUCUAGGCCAUUUUAUACCUCUCCCCUGCCAAAAACUUCAUUACCAGGCUGACAAUGUCAGUUGUUCCGACAUUAAGAGGGAAGUUUUGUAUUACAUCUAAAGUAAAGUGACUGCGUGCUGCUGCCUUCAAGGAGCCCUUCCACUGCUCCUUCCUCAUCCUCCCCCACCAGCGAGCUCUGGCCCCUUCCCUGAAGGCAAUUCUAGGGAUUGUGCAGCUGAACAGUGAGCGGCUCAGAGCUGAUCCAGUGCAAGCUCAUCCACCAAGCAAGUGCAGUAAUAAAAAAAAAGCAUUUUACUCUUGGAUCCAGUUUACGACCACCCCAAGGCCUGACUCAUAGGAAGCAAUGGGGGUGCCACUGUAGCAGACGCAGUUGUCCAAGAUUCCGGGUAACAUGAAACUUCUCCUGAAGAUAUCAGGUGAUCCUUUGAACAGGCAGGUCUGGGUGCAGCCUCUGACUCCUGCUGUUUGGGAAGGUUUGUCUUAGGUGUGGCAGAGCAGCUAGCAAAGAAAUUAACCCUUCAACACAAGACAUCAAGUUUGCUGUUCCCUGGGCAGCGUUGUGAGCCAACCACAUUGAAACCUGUUUAAACACGAUAGAGCCUUUCAUGCUUUCUGUUUUGUAACUCAUGCAGCUUUGCAGAAGUUUAUCCUAAAAACCACCAGUUGCUAGGUAGAAUUAAUCUUACAGCAUCAGGCUGGAAAGGUCGGUUUGCCAAACGCUGGUAAGCAUAGAAGAGAUCUGAAAAUCGACAAAGCCAACAAAAGCUUCAGGGAAGAAAAAAAAAAAAAACAAAACCCAAAAGACCUUGACUAAUAGAAAUUUUGACAAAUUUGGUAAAUGAGAAUUUUGUUCCAAUCCCACACCGCUGACAUUCCACCCCCCUGCUUACUUCAAACCCCCAAAUGAACAGCAAGGAUGCUAUCUGAAGGGUUUGUACCACAAGAGUGCCUAGGGGCACGGGGCUAGUUAGCUUGUGUCAGAAAGCACUGUGUGCACACUCACAUUUACACAGGGUCUACAAAAAGACAAUCGCAGGUCCAGAAAAGCCAUGGGAACAUAGCGAUAUACAGCAAAUGGGGGGAAAAGGGGUGAAAACAAGGGUGCAGAGCAAUGGCAAGAUGAUCUGGACUAGUGAGGCGGUCAGCCUGUCACUUCACCUCAGCAGAGCUCUCAUCUUAUCUGCGCAUCAGUGCCCAGGAGACUGUAUCCUCAGUCCCAGGACAGCAGAGGAACAGUAGUAGUAAGGUCUCACAAAGUCUGUGUCCAUCCAGCAGACUCAGUGCUUCAGGUGUGGCUUCAUCUUCUCCUCUGUAUAGACACUGUUUGCCCCAAGGAAGAGCAACACUAUAGCAUUAAGUGCAACUAUGUGAGAUCCCAGCGAUCUGGCUGGGAAGUAUGAGACAAGGGCAACUUUACAAUCUGCGGUGCCCCAGCUGCCACGGACAUGAUUCUUCUGUUGGGCUAUGAACACACAUUAAUUUUAGCAACAUUAUGGUUUUUGAUGGACAGGACAGCUCCUUCCAUGUGUGGGUGACCCAGGGCCAAAGAAAAGAAAGUUUGCACCAGUAAUGAUCUGUAGGACCUGCCAUGAGAUCUAACGACCGCUAUGGACAGGGCCACGCGCCAGCCAGGGAAAGGCCUGGAAGGCCAAGUGAGGAAGUUUGUGUUUGAUGCAGCAGAAAAGGAGACAAAAGGACAGGUACAAAAACCUCCUGGGGCCUAAAGAGAAAUUUGAGACUAUGACACUCUAUGCUAGGAUAUAUUGUAAUGGAGGAAGACGAAUUUGUCUUUAACCUCCUAAAGCAGGUAUCCUAGCAUAAGUUAACCACCUGCAUCCAGCAGUUCUGGCAGUCUUGGGUGCUAAUGGACAAAGCAAAAAGGAGUGAUAAUAUCAGCUUAAUAAAGCCUAAAAGACAAAA